GCUGCGCACUUCGGUCUUUUACGUCGGCCUUCGCGAGCGUCUGGGCGGGUGGUAGGAACAAUGGCGCUGUCUUCAGUGGCACAGUGGAGCAGCUCUGAAGAUGCAAAGAUACACGAAAAAACUUCCAGAACAUCUGGGAGAAUAUUUAAUGGAAAAUCGCUUGGUUAAAACCUGACACUUUUAACAGUGAACAGCGUUCUGAGUGUGGACGAGUAGCCAGUGAAGAUAAUGAAUGUCGAAUGUGACUGACUAGCAGCUUCAUUUUGAAUGAGGGUCGCUGUCUGCCCAUUGAUAGAGGCCAGAUUGUCUUGGAAGUUCCAAAGUUGCAACGAUUUCUGGCUAGUGCCACGAGGUUUACUUGACUGUUGUGUGAAAAGCUGAUAAGAAAACCAUCCAGAAAAAAGCUCUUCGUUUUACAAACAUGAAAAUAAAACAUUUAGUUGAAUCCAUGGACAUGAAACCCACAGAUAUAGAGGGUUGGCCCGGUGCAGUGGCUCACGCCUGUAAUCCCAGCACUUUGGGAGGCCAAGGCGGGUGGAUCACCUGAGGUCAGAAGCUUGAGACCAGCCUGGCCAACAUGGGUACUGCUUUCUCUUGCUGCAGCUUGCUUCCUCCCUCAGGUAUGAAGUUAAGGUAACAUGAAGGAGGAUAUUGAAUGUUCCUAACACAAAGAAAUGAUAAAUGUUUGAGAUGGUGGAUGUACUAAUUGCCCUGAUCUGAUGACUAUACAUUAUAUAUAUUGAAACAUCAGUAUGUACCCCAUGAAUAUGUACAAUUAUAUGUCAACUUAAACACAUUUAAAAGUAAAAAAAAAAAAA
rnacentral:lncRNA from 1 species